GAUGAACGCUGGCGGCGUGCCUAAUACAUGCAAGUCGAGCGAACAGACGAGGAGCUUGCUCCUCUGACGUUAGCGGCGGACGGGUGAGUAACACGUGGAUAACCUACCUAUAAGACUGGGAUAACUUCGGGAAACCGGAGCUAAUACCGGAUAAUAUAUUGAACCGCAUUGUUCAAUAGUGAAAUACGGUUUUGCUGUCACUUAUAGAUGGAUCCGCGCCGCAUUAGCUAGUUGGUAAGUUAACGGCUUACCAAGGCGACGAUGCGUAGCCGACCUGAGAGGGUGAUCGGCCACACUGGAACUGAGACACGGUCCAGACUCCUACGGGAGGCAGCAGUAGGGAAUCUUCCGCAAUGGGCGAAAGCCUGACGGAGCAACGCCGCGUGAGUGAUGAAGGUCUUCGGAUCGUAAAACUCUGUUAUUAGGGAAGAACAAAUGUGUAAGUAACUAUGCACGUCUUGACGGUACCUAAUCAGAAAGCCACGGCUAACUACGUG
rnacentral:rRNA from 1 species